ACUUUAUAGUUAACCCAACAUUUCACCCCAAAAUAUAAUUUAAACCCAAAUGAUUAAAUAAAAAUUAACCAAAACAUUUUUUAUUCUUAGUAUAGGCGAUAGAAAAGAGAAAACUGGAGUUAUAAAAUUAGUACCGCAAGGGAAAACUGAAAGAGUAAUGAAAUAAUUCAUUAAAGUGUUUAAAAGCAAAGAUUACACCUCGUACCUUUUGCAUCAUGGUCUAGCUAGUCAAACCAGACAAAGCGUACUUAAGCCUGCCCUCCCGAAACUAAAUGAGCUACUUCAAGACAGCAAACACGUGCCAACCCUUCUCUGUAGCAAAAGAGUGGGAAGAUCUUCAAGUAGAGGUGAUAGACCUACCGAGUUUAGUGAUAGCUGGUUAGUUAGGAAAAGAAUUUUAGUUCUACGUUAAUUUCUCUUCCCCUCUAUUUAAACUAUUAUCACAAAGAACAAGAAGAAAUUAAUAGCUAUUCAAAAGGGGUACAACUCUUUUGAAAAAGGAUACAACCUUAACAAAGUCGGAUAAAGAUUAUAUUAAACAAGGAAUUUAUUCCUGUGGGCCUAAAAGCAGCCAUCUUAACAGAAAGCGUUACAGCUCUAAUAAAUUAUAAACCUAUUAUACAAAUAAACAAUCACAAUCCCCUUUUUUUACUAACUUAUUUUAUUUAAUAAAAGAGUUUAUGCUAGAAUGAGUAACAAGAAAGAGAAUUUAUCCUUUUACAAGUGUAAGUCAGAAAGAACAAAUCACUGAUAAUUAACGACCCCAGACUGAGGGAAUUAUUUACCCACAGAAUAGACGAGAAAAACAAAUAAUAAAACAUCGUUGACCCUACACAGGAGUAAAAUAAGGAAAGAUUAAAAAAGAAGGAAGGAACUCGGCAAACAUAAAUUCCGCCUGUUUACCAAAAACAUCGCCUCCUGAACCCUAAAUUAUAGGAGGUCCCGCCUGCCCUGUGACAUUAGUUCAACGGCCGCGGUAUCCUGACCGUGCAAAGGUAGCGUAAUCACUUGUCUUUUAAAUGAAGACCUGUAUGAAAGGCCUCACGAGAUUUUACCUGUCUCCCUUCUUCAAUCAGUGAAAUUGAUCUACCCGUGCAGAAGCGGGUAUGUGAACAUAAGACGAGAAGACCCUAUGGAGCUUCAAAUAAAUUAUUAAUAAAAUGAAAUUACAACCCUCAGGGGAUAAGAGUUGGACUUAGCAUAAUAAAAUUAUUUUUGGUUGGGGCAACCACGGGGUAAAGCCUAACCCCCGUAUCGAUUGGGCAAAAAUGCCUAAAAAAUAGAACGACAGUUCUACUUAAUAAAAUAUUUAACGAGUAAUGAUCCAGAGAUAUCUGAUUAAUGAACCAAGUUACCCUAGGGAUAACAGCGCAAUCCUUUCCCAGAGUCCCUAUCGACGAAAGGGUUUACGACCUCGAUGUUGGAUCAGGACAUCCUAAUGGUGCAACCGCUAUUAAGGGUUCGUUUGUUCAACGAUUAAUAGUCCUACGUGAUCUGAGUUCAGACCGGAGAAAUCCAGGUCAGUUUCUAUCUAUGUAGUCAUUUUUCCCAGUACGAAAGGACCGGAAAAACAGAGCCUCUGUUUUAAAUAAGCUCUAUCUUAACCCUCUGUUACCAACUAAAAAGGAUAAUAAGAGACACCCCUUUACCCAAAAAAAGGGUAUU
rnacentral:rRNA from 1 species